CACAGGUUUGGUCCUGGCCUUUCUAUUAGCUCUCAGUAAAAUUACACAUGCAAGCAUCCACAACCCUGUGAAAAUGCCCUCAAAUAGUUACAAUAUGAGGAGCGAGUAUCAAGCACGCAUACAUGCAGCUCAAAACACUUUGCUUAGCCACGCCCCCACGGGAGACAGCAGUGAUAGACCUUUAGCAAUAAACGAAAGUUUAACUAAGUUAUACUGAUUAUCAGAGUUGGUCAAUUUCGUGCCAGCCACCGCGGCCAUACGAUUAACUCAAGUUAAUAGGGCACGGCGUAAAGAGUGUUUAAGAACAUACUUCAAAUAAAGCUAACCUAUAACUAAAUUGUAAAAAAUCCUGGUUACAGUAAAAUAUUCUACGAAAGUGGCUUUAAUAUACUGAAUACACUAUAGCUAAGGCACAAACUGGGAUUAGAUACCCCACUAUGCUUAGCCCUAAACCUCAAUAACCCAAACAACAAGAUUAUUCGCCAGAACACUACAAGCAACAGCUUGAAACUCAAAGGACCUGGCGGUGCUUUAUAUCCGUCUAGAGGAGCCUGUUCUAUAAUCGAUACACCCCGAUAAACCUCACCACUUCUCGCCCUCAGCCUGUAUACCGCCAUCUUCAGCAAACUCCUUAAAGAUCGUAAAGUAAGCAGGAGUAUCAUCAUAAAAACGUUAGGUCAAGGUGCAGCCAAUGAAGUGGGAAGAAAUGGGCUACAUUUUCUAAGUCAGAAAAUUUUAUACGACAACCUUUAUGAAAUUUAAAGGCCCAAGGUGGAUCUAGCAGUAAGUCAAGAAUAGAGAGCUUGAUUGAAGCAAGGCCAUUAAGCACGCACACACCGCCCGUCACCCCCCUCAAACAUCACACAAAAGUAUAUUAAUAAUAAACUACUAUGCACUGAUAUAGAGGGGAUAAGUCGUAACAUGGUAAGCGUACUGGAAAGUGCGCUUGGACGAAU
rnacentral:ncRNA from 1 species